AAUUGAGUCCCACAGUAUGAGUCAUAAUACCCAUAAAACCUAGCGGUCAAACACAGAAAUGGUUCCAUGUUAAUCACGUUAAAAGGUGACUUUUAUCAAUAUAUAACACCCCCCCCCCCAAAUUACAAAAAUAAAUAAAUAGAAUUGACAAUGUGGCUGUCAUGCAGAACAACAAAUUCAUGUCUGAAGCUUCACGUUACUCACCAGGGUUAUGAUGAUCUGGAUGAGACUGCCAAAUCGAGGUUACAUUAGCUGUCUAUUUGUCUAGCCAUUUAAAUGCAUGAGAAAUUCAUAAAAACGAGUUGAGCUUUCUUUGACUUUUAUAAACCACCAGUCUAGCUUGCUAGGUAACUAGCUAGAUAAGCUAGAGCUAGGUGUUCUUGAUCAUGUUUGUGGGUAGCCUAUUUCUAGUACUGCUUGACUUGUAGCUACCCUAGCUAGCUGUAUGAUUUUAGUCUGUCUUUUUGAGCGGUUUCAGAGAUGGACUGAUUAGCAUCCUCUCGAGUCAACCAUGUGCUUACUCUACUAUGGGAAAAUAUUGAUAUGUUUAUUGUUACCCUCUGGACAGCAGAUCAUCAGUAUAGCUCGUAGGCAAGGUUAUGUAAUCUUAUUUAGUCUAACCUACUAUGGCGAGUUUUAAAUGAAUUGGUAUGAAUUUAAAAGCAGCUGUGAACCAGAAGACUGUAGCCAAGACAACACUGGUCCACACCCGCCAUGUCUGUUGGGUAGUACUGUAUGUGCCUUUAGGUUCCUUUCUAUGUGUAGGCUAUUGUACUAGUCUGUGUGGUACAGUCUUUCAUAUGUGUUGUAGUUUGUCUCAACUUUGAAUUCAAUCUAAGCCUUAGAUUGUUAACUUCCUCCAUGUUGUACUUAAAGACAUUCAAGCAGCUCUUUGUUGAGCAAGUUUCCAAUGGUCCCAGUACUGGUUGAUGUGCAGGGCUAAGUGACCACACACGCUCAAAUGGACCUACAGCUGGGGUAAGAUUCUUCCAUCAUUCACACACAGUAGACAUAGUGUAAACUACCAUGUUGUCAACAAAAUGCUGUCCUCAAUGCUUAAGCAGUCAACUUCUGUUAGAUUACUUGAAGGAUUUAGCUAUGUACUACCAUUUUUCAACAACAAUUUCCAUCUAGCUAGUUGGUCAUAUACAUGUUACUAACUAUACAUGUAGUUAUACAGUAUGUCUGUCAUAUUGAGGUAUCUUGCUAUAAGUAAACCCUGAUCAAUCAAAUGGAUAGGUGUAAGCAAUUAUCGUAAUUCCAACUGCCCUUAACUAGGUGUCUUUGCUAGACACAGGGAGGGGGGAGAGAAAGAAAGGAUGAGAGUGAGAGAGAGGUGGGAAGUAAGUGGAAGACUGACAGAGAGAGAUGGAGACAGAGAGAAAGACAGCAGUGCAAAUUUACUUGGACUUGAGUAUUUCAACAACUCUUCUCUUCCAAUUUGUUAGGCAAUAACAUGUACCUACAGUGAAUGGCCAGCCACACAGGAGGGUGAUUUUCAUGAAGUAAAGGGAGGCCGUUCUGACCCGAGAUGCAUGCUGGCCAUUUCGGAGUGAAACGCAUGUUUGCCAAAAAUCAACCUAUGCUUCUUCUGCCAAUGAUGUGGACAGCUGGGCAACAGAGUUCAAUAUUAUAGAAUCUGUCUAUGCCACCUACAAGGUGAUGAUGGCCAUCAUCAUCCUCCAGGUUUGGAUGAACCAACCAACCAGACCGCCAUGGGAAGAGGAAUUUGUUCUUAAGGACCAUUGACUGUCCGAGCCACCCAGGAGGUAUCCCAUCCACCAGAACCAGCGGGUUCGGGUCAGUCUGAUUCUCUGUGCUCUGAGUUGGAGGGGGACCAGCUUCAGGUAGGCUAUACCUUCAAAAACUGUUGAAAAGUUCAUAUCUCCUAUUUAUGACACUGCACUAAUCCAUCAAAUCUUCUCAGGUAAAGUGUAACCUGUGUGUUUUCUUGUUUAUGUCGCGAUCACCUACCCUGUUCCCUUUAACUCUACUCCUGUUAUCCGGGACCUAGGGGUUCUGCCCAACACCCAGACGUGGUGUUCGUCUGGGUGGAUCCCAGACGAACUUGGGAUCCACCCGAGUUCAUCCAUUACCAACCACCCUCCAAAUUUUCAUGACAUCAUCUACAGCUACUGUUAUUGUCUUGUUGUUAUUAUCUGCUAAUAAAGUUCUUGCUCUAUCAUACUGGGCACAUAAUGUGAGAUACACAGAAUAAUUAAAACACUAGCACUGCAAACACUCGGAACAAAGUGGGCAGCAGUGCCUAGACUUUGCAGUAUCCCUCUUCAAGUCCCCUUUCCGUGACUGGCUGCCUGUUGAGAACAAGUGACAGUCAGAACCUCCCACCCCCACAGCACCCACCUCCUCUCUAUUCAACUCACCAGAAUUCAGUAUAUGUUUGCCAUGUGAGUGUACAACAACAACAAAUCUGUGAAAAUAAAUGAAUGACACAACUAUACCCUAAAAAAGGUCAAAGUUUAUAUUUAAAUCUUAAAUAUUGCCAGGCUGGUUUUCACAGCUGUUUCACAAGGUGUUGAUUACUGUAAUUUGUAAGGUAUCCCUUGAUGGUAUUUGUUAGUUGUUAGAGGAAAUUAUGGUUGAAAUGACUAAAUAUGUAUACAUUCCAAUCAGAACUGACUAGUCCAAAUGCUAUAAUGUACUGUACAUAUGAAUUUUCUCUCUUGCUCCCAUUCCCAAUUGUAUAUAAUGUAGUCAGGAGUUUAGUAACAAUGAAGGUCUGUUCCUUAGUUCAUUCAGUACAAUCUCCAGGUGGCAGGAACGGCCGAUCUCCAGACUGUCUAGAAUGCUGAUCUAUACUGACUGACCUUGACUUCGUGCUGAUAACGCGAAGGCUCGAGAGCUAGAGAGCCCUUCUACUGGUGAAAUAGAUAGAACGUUUAGAAAACGCUGAUGUCAUUUUCAGUUUAUAACCUGUGGAAAUAUGUGUAUGUGGCAGUACUCUCUUGAAUUAAACGCUGUUACCUUGGCUUUUAA